GACGAACCGUGCGAACGUUGUUCGGAAUCACUGGGCUUAAAGGGCGCGUAGGCGGCUCCGCAAGUCGGGGGUGAAAUCUUUCGGCUUAACCGGAAAAGUGCCUCUGAUACUGCGGAGCUCGAGGGAGGUAGGGGCGGACGGAACUUCCGGUGGAGCGGUGAAAUGCGUUGAUAUCGGAAGGAACGCCGGUGGCGAAAGCGGUCCGCUGGCCCUCUACUGACGCUGAGGUACGAAAGCGUGGGGAGCGAACAGG
rnacentral:rRNA from 1 species